UUUAGGAAUACCAACCUCAUUCAACAAAGAUGAGAUGAGACAAUUAUUCAACGCUAAACUGGAUAGACUAGCCUCCGAAAAAAGAUCAAAUAGUGGUUUUCUGACCAAAGAGAAAUACACAGAAGUAAUAUCAGAAAUAAAGCAAAUAAAAGAGAAGAUUCAUCCAACACCAUUGGAUUUACAAAAAUUGAAACGAUUUGAUAUUAUCAAUGUUGGAGGCGUUGAACAACUUAUUUAUCCAACUUCUGAUUCCAAGCCAAUUUACUACGUCACUACAGACGAAUUAUUUGACAUUGUGCAUGAUGCGCAUCUCUUACUUAAUCAUGGCGGAAGAAAUAAAAUGAUUAAAGAGAUCAAUAAGCAAUUCAAGAAUGUUACCAGAGAAAUUGUUAUGAUUUAUUUGCACAUGUGUAACUGCAGAAACACGGGUUAAAAUUGUAUCUCAGGGAUAUUAAAAAUAAUUAAACUAAUUAUAGUAUAUUAAAUGGAAUUGAACUUAUAUUAAUUUUUUAAUAAAAUUGUUUGGUAAUAAAGUAAUCGUUUUAUUUUUAAAUCCUAAAUUUUUGUGUUUAAUACGUAUUAACUAGUGGCAAAAAGUUCUUUAACACAUUUUUAAUUGUUACAUUUUAGGUGUCCCGUAUCAUCCCUGCUUGACUUGUGGGAAAAGCUACAAGCACAGAAGAAACUUGAACAGACACAUUCAAUACGAAUGCCAAACAGUUCCUAGAUUUUCAUGUAACAUUUGUUCCAGAAGGUUUAACUACAAAACAAGCUUAAAGAGCCACCAACUAACCCACUUUAAAUUGCCAUCGUAAUACUAAAUUGUUUUCGUUGCCAAACAUAAUCCAAAAAGUAUUUAGAUUAUAGGAUUUUAUAAUAAGAUUAUGAUCUUGUGUUUUUUAAAUGUAAUUAAAUAAGUUUGAGUUGAGCCUCAACUAAAUUAAAAACUAUUGAUAUACUGUGACAUUUUUGUUGUUUUUUUUUUUCGACUUAAAUAAUUUCGAAGUAAGUAUUUUAGCACUAUUUUUAUAACUUAAAUCUUCACUUUCUAAUAUCUCCUAUCAAAUCACUUAGAUUAGGUAUAUUGUGUUUAACCUUAGAUUUACUGUGUUUGUUUCAGGUUUUCAAAACUACACAUCACCAGUGCUGGAAACCUUCUCGUGUCCGAAAUGUUUCAAGGUCUACAAAUUCAGGACGAGUUUGUACAGACACAAACGCCAAAUACUCGGAUAGCACAUUCAGUUGUGCACGUUGCGGCAAAUUUUACAAGAACCAGACAACAUUAAGCCGCCACGUCCAUCACGAAUGCGGCAAAGAUCCGAAACACGAAUGUCCAGCCUGCUUGAGAAAGUUCAAGAGGAAGGACAGAAUGAAAAGUCACUACAGAUAUGUGCACUGUCCUAAAACAAACAUUAGUCACCAUUAGUCGAAUGUUAAUAAUAUUAAUAAAUGUUGAACGUAA